GUACGAUUUCAGCUACUUUACAGAGUUGCCUUGUGGCAUGGUGAUCAAGCAGCAUUGUACAGGGCUAUCAAAGAGCAC
rnacentral:pre_miRNA from 1 species